GCUGGCUCGACUGCGUGAGAAGCAGGAGGCGGGCGAGGGUGCUGCGGCGAUGGCUGGGCCGGCGAAGGAAGGGUGAUGGUGGCGCUGAGAUUGGGGGACGUCUUUUCCCUCAUAACAGCGAAUCGAAGGUGUUGGUGGAGACGACAUUGUAUGAUUUUAGCCGCUUGGGGAUCAAUCGAGCAUUUGAGGUGGCUGUCGAGAGCACUACAACAGUUUGCACUCUAGGAGUGGGGUACUUCUGGUACGUCGAAUAGACCUUGAACGACAAGAUUCAAAGCUCGAGACAUUUUGGGUAUUUUGGGUGACGCAUGGUAGGUAUGGCGGCAUUCCAGGCAAAUUCCUGCCUGGGGCCAACUUUAGAAUGUGUGCCCUUCAGGAUCGUUGGAUCCUAUGUUUGUGUUAUGAUUGAAUGAAUAUAUGCAUAUGAUUGACUUGUUAUGGGAUUGGUUUUGUUUUUAAAAAUUACUAUGCAAUUGCAUGUGCAUAUUGACAAUGAUAACUGUUUAGGACAUAUGAGAUGAGAUAUAGAUGCGAGUAUCUCCUCGAUCCCGAUUGUGUAUUAGAAAGCAUCGUAGAAUGAUAAUUGCAUAGAACAGCUAUGAGUGAAUCACGGAUCGAGAUUAUUCUUCGUGGUUUGACUAAAUUUUGAAAGAUGUGAUUGAUGUUCUUGAUUAAUGUGAAUGUUGUAAUAUGUUUCGUAUGCAUUGUCGUGGGCAUGAUGCAAAUGAAUGAAAUUGAAGGAUAGUUGUACACGUAAAGUUAUGACGACUAGCUAAGAAGGUUGACUAUAUGUGUAGCCCUCAUGUGGAGGCAUUUAGAGGUAUGAGUGCACUUGUGAA